AGUGAACGCUGGCGGUAGGCCUAACACAUGCAAGUCGAACGGCAGCACAGUAAGAGCUUGCUCUUACGGGUGGCGAGUGGCGGACGGGUGAGGAAUAAAUCGGACUCUACUUUUUCGUGGGGGAUAACGUAGGGAAACUUACGCUAAUACCGCAUACGACCUACGGGUGAAAGCAGGGGAACUUCGGACCUUGCGCGAUUGAAUGAGCCGAUGUCGGAUUAGCUAGUUGGCGGGGUAAAGGCCCACCACGGCGACGAUCCGUAGCUGGACUGAGAGGAUGAUCAGCCACACUGGAACUGGGACACGGUCCAGGCUCCUACGGGAGGCAGCAGUGGGGAAUAUUGGACAAUGGUCGCAAGCCUGAUCCAGCCAUACCGCGUGGGUGAAGAAGGCCUUCGGGUUGUAAAGCCCUUUUGUGGGGAAAGAAAAGCAGCAGGUUAAUACCCCGCUGUUCUGACGGUACCCAAAGAAUAAGCACCGGCUAACUUCGUG
rnacentral:rRNA from 1 species